rnacentral:lncRNA from 1 species
UCUUUCUUCUCUCUCCCGCUCUCUCCUUCUUCUCUCUCCUGCUUCUCUCUCCCCCGUCUCCUUUCUCCUUCCGAAAAUGGUCUCUGAGUUUUGCUCUGCUUCUUAGAUACAAAAACAGGAGUAAUUAUUAUGCAGAAGUAAUUGUAAUGCAGAAUUAAUUAUUAUGCAGAACGAAAGGAAGAGCUUCUCUAUAUUAAUGAGCAUGCACCAUGAAUAUUCGAUCAUCUACAGCUCUUUCUUCUUCAAAAAAAUCCUUUGAUCAUUCAGAAAAGAUGGUUGAUUUUGCUCAAGGCCAAAACCUCGUGAAAGGGCUGCUGAAAGCCACGAAGAAGCUGAUCGCCGAGAAAUCAAAAGCACCACAGGGCACCAGUUUCUCUCUCCACGUGGCAAAGCAGUCUGCUUUGGCGGAAGGUGUGGAAGAGUCGCUUAUCAAAAGCGAUACAGA